AAAACGUCAAUAUGUGAUGAGAUCGGAGUGAGAAUGUGUUGGCUAGUCAUGUUAACAUGCAAAAACAUUGUGCCCACUGCCCACCCUCCAGUUUCCACUGGUUAGGUAAUGUUGGCCUUGGCUGCUCUGCACUGCGAACCAGCAGGUUCAAGGAACAGCUAGUUAGCACCGCCGCUAAUUUGCAAUAAGCACUGGUAACGCAGGACAAAGUUGCUGCGACGAGCUACUAUCUGGUCUACCCCCAGGUAGCCCUGACAGGUGACCGGCUUUUUUUGAGCCACAAAACCCUGUUAGCAUUGUUUACUAUGUUAGCACCACUUGUCGUGCUGACACUGCUAACAGUGCUAACAGUAGUUAACAAUGCUGAAGAGGGUUUGUGGCUUAAAAUUGAGCCACUUACUCACUGAGGCGACCUAGCAGAGACUGGAUGCCCAAUAUUUCCACAACAGUGCUGUUGAGUCAGGGCGGUGUUACUGGCUGUAAUUGCUAAAUGUUGGCACCACUAGCUAGCUCCAACCUGACCUGGGUGUUGCGCAGUACAAAGGCUAACCAGUGGAGACUGCAGGGUGGGCAGUGGGCACCAUGUUUCUGCAUGUUAACGUGGCUAGCCCGCCCUCGGCGAUCUAGGUAGUGUGCAGAGCAGUAAAGUGAAGAGUAACAAAAAUAAUCUACAGAUUAACAUGUGUAACCAAUCAGAUAUAUUCUUGGCGUUUAACCACUUAACGGUGAAACAUCGACUACUUUAAACUGUACUUUUUUUUGCUCAAUGCAGCAAACUCUCACGUCAUACCUUCUGUUUUCUUCUAGGUUGCUAAACUGCCCUUUCUCAUCAAUGAUGGAAAGUGGCAUCACAUCUGCGUAACCUGGACCACUCGUGAUGGUGUUUGGGAAGCUUUCCAAGAUGGCGUCAAGAGGGGGAGUGGAGAGAAUCUGGCUCCAUAUCAUCCAAUCAAACCACAGGGCCUGCUGAUCCUCGGUCAAGAGCAGGACACGCUCGGAGGAGGAUUCGACGCCACACAAGCUUUUGUCGGAGACCUGGCAAAUUUUCACAUCUGGGAUCGGAAACUAUCCGUGGGAGAGAUUUACAAUCUGGCCACGUGCAGCAGCAAAGCGCAAGUGGGCAACGUUUUUGCGUGGAUGGAGACAAGCCUUGAUAUUUACGGAGGUGCCUCGAAGUGGACAUUUGAAGCUUGUCGCCAGCUCAACUGAAGCACAGGAAAGAGAAGAUCAAUGCAUUUGUUAAAGCCACUCUGUUGUCACAGCAUCGGUAAACUAAUUUGAAAGAUCAGGAUUAUUUCAAUGAAUAGCAUCUGGAUUUGUUAUAGAUAUUUGAAAACAUCAUUUGUGGACACUUGAUAGAUUUUUACCAGAUUCUCAUAUGGGACAGGUUCACUGCUAAAUGGACACUUUGGCAUCCUGUGGUGCUUGAAUGCGCCAUCAGGCCUACUUGUGGUUGGGGGAAGAAGCAGCCGAUGUCGCUCCAGAGAGCAGGGGACGCUCUCGGAGACCAAAAUGUCAGGCCAGCAUCAAAAGUACAGCAGGAGGUCAUGUAGUUUUUAGCCAGAUGUCACGCAAUUCAACAAAACGACUGACUCCUUCAAACAUCUUUUCUGUCUCGACUGCCAGGGAUUUUCACUGUGAAAAAGGACAAGGUGGACUUCUUUAAAAGGAACAUGCUCUUCAAGAGGUCAUGAAAUAGACGUCAUUGUUUCUCUCUCACUAUUCUUUCUCUACCACCACCUGCUUGACGUGAUUUUGUGUAAAGAAUGACGUAAUUAUUGCCAACAUUCGAGCCUGAGUGCCUUGGGCUGUUGAAAAAAGAAUCUCAGCACAUUCAUUAUGAUUUGCAGAGUGUUUGUGUUUAUUUUCCUGUAAAUUAAUUUUGAGAAGAGGUGUUUCUCGUAACACUCUGAGCGAGGCCGGAUCAGAUCGUUUAUCGUAAAAUGCAAUUCAUUUGAUGAUAAUGACGCAUUUUGCAGAUGUUUGUACUUCAAUGGGAAUGUUCUCUGUACAGUAACAGCAUGUCUUAACUUCUGUAAAUGCUGCGUCAGCAUCUAUGAUCUUUGCUUUUACUAUCCGACUUUUGGGUUGAGAUUUUAUACUGUAUUGUUAUAUGCUUAAAGCAUGGCAACACGGACAGAUGAAAAAAGUUCUAGUUUUUGUAAUAAAUUGUGAUACUUGAAUCAUA